UACGUAGGGCGCAAGCGUUGUCCGGAAUUAUUGGGCGUAAAGAGCUCGUAGGCGGUUUGUCGCGUCUGCUGUGAAAACCUAAGGCUCAACCUUGGGCUUGCAGUGGGUACGGGCAGACUAGAGUGCGGUAGGGGUGACUGGAAUUCCUGGUGUAGCGGUGGAAUGCGCAGAUAUCAGGAGGAACACCAAUAGCGAAGGCAGCUCGCUGGGACGUUACUGACACUGAGGCGCGGAAAGCGUGGGGAGCGAACAGG
rnacentral:rRNA from 1 species